CAGUCCGCGGCUUGUGUGCCGCGAGGAGAGGCGCAAAGGGUGACACACCAGGAAAGCAGGUAGCAGGCAAGAGUGUGGUUAUCGUUGGACCAGGAUUCAGGAUCUGACUGAGUAGCUGACUCUUAAUCCAGUUUGUGUUGAUCACCAGGAGGAUCUGGACCUCAGUAUUACCACAUCUAGAGCUAUAAUCACAUCCCUGUUAAGCCUUCCUGAGAUCACACCAAAUGUCCUUGAUGGGAAUUGUAAACAACCCUUACUUCUGGUUUCUAAUGAUAUUCCAGGAAAGGAGCCUAACUAGAGUCAGUGAUAUGCCAACUCCACCUUUGCCUUCCACCAUGUUUGGAAGCUCCCUGAGGCCUCACCAGGAGCAGAUGCUCGUCCCAUGCUUCCUAUAAGCCUGCAGAACUGGAAAAGAAAGCUGGAUAAAGUAUUUAUAGAAGAUAGAGGACCUGUGGUGGCUCAUGCCUGUAAUCCAAGGUGGAAGGAUUGCUUGAGGCCAGAAGUUCAAGACCAGUCCAAGCAACAUAGCAAGGCCCCAUCUCUACAAAAAAUGAAAAUAAAAUUAGCCGAGCGUGAUGGCUCAUGCCUGUAGUUCUAGCUUCUAGAGAGGCUGAGGCAGGA
rnacentral:lncRNA from 1 species